GAAAGCCUGACGGAGCAAGACCGCGURCGGGAGGAAGGUCUAUUGWCUGUAACCCGCUUUUGAUAGGGAAGAAGAUCUGACGGUACCUAUCGAAUCAGCAUCGGCUAACUCCGUGCCAGCAGCCGCGGUAAUACGGGGGAUGCAAGCGUUAUCCGGAAUUAUUGGGCGUAAAGCGUCCGUAGGUGGUUUUAUAAGUCUGUUGUCAAAUCGCGAGGCUUAACCUCGUACAGGCAGUGGAAACUAUAAGACUAGAGUGCGGUAGGGGUAGAGGGAAUUUCCAGUGUAGCGGUGAAAUGCGUAGAUAUUGGAAAGAACACCGGUGGCGAAG
rnacentral:rRNA from 1 species